UACGUAGGGUGCGAGCGUUAAUCGGAUUCACUGGGCGUAAAGGGUGCGUAGGUGGUGGGGUAAGUCGGAUGUGAAAUCUCCAGGCUCAACCUGGAAACUGCAUUGGAAACUACCUUGCUUGAGGAUUUGAGGGGAAGCUGGAAUUCACGGUGUAGCGGUGAAAUGCGUAGAUAUCGUGGAGAACACCCGUGGCGAAGGCGGGCUUCUGGCUAAUGACUGACGCUGAGGUGCGAAAGCUAGGGGAGCGAACGGG
rnacentral:rRNA from 1 species